rnacentral:rRNA from 1 species
CCUACGGGUGGCAGCAGUAGGGAAUUUUGCGCAAUGGGCGAAAGCCCGACGCAGCAACGCCGCGUGAUCGAGACGCCCUUCGGGGUGUAAAGAUCUGUCAGUGGGGACGAAACUUGACGGUACGCACAGAGUAAGCACCGGCUAAAUCCGUGCCAGCUGCCGCGGUAAUACGGGGGGUGCAAGCGUUGUCCGGAAUCAUUGGGCGUAAAGGGUUCGUAGGCGGCACGUAAAGUCUGGUGUUAAAGGAAGAGGCUCAACUUCUGUACGGCAGUGGCUACUUGCAGGCUAGAAUGCGGUAGAGGUAGAGGGAAUUCGUGGUGUAGCGGUGAAAUGCUUAGAUAUCAGGAGGAACAUCGAUGGCGUAGGCGCUUUACUGGGCCGUAAUUGACGCUGAGGAACGAAAGCCAGGGUAGCAAAUGGGAUUAGAUACCCGUGUAGUC